UCGGGAAUUUUGGGCAAUGGGCGAAAGCCUGACCCAGCAACGCCGCGUGAAGGAUGAAGUCUUUCGGGAUGUAAACUUCGUAAAAAUAGGAAGAAUAAAUGACGGUACUAUUUGUAAGGUCCGGCUAACUACGUGCCAGCAGCCGCGGUAAUACGUAGGGACCAAGCGUUGUUCGGAUUUACUGGGCGUAAAGGGCGCGUAGGCGGCGUGGUAAGUCACUUGUGAAAUCUCCGAGCUUAACUCGGAACGGUCAAGUGAUACUGCUGUGCUAGAGUACAGAAGGGGCAAUCGGAAUUCUUGGUGUAGCGGUGAAAUGCGUAGAUAUCAAGAGGAACACCUGAGGUGAAGACGGGUUGCUGGGCUGAUACUGACGCUGAGGCGCGAAAGCUAGGGUAGCAAACAGGAUUAGAUACCCCCGUAGUCCCUGAGCGGGCUGGCAAGGCGCAU
rnacentral:rRNA from 1 species